GGGGCUAUGGCGCAGCUGGUAGCGCAUCUGCUUUGCAAGCAGAGGGUCGCCGGUUCGAACCCGGCUAGCUCCACAA
rnacentral:tRNA from 6 species